GGCUAAGGUUACAGCGACGACUGUAGCCGUCUGAGUUGAUGAUCCGCCACACUGGGACUGAGACACGGCCCAGACUCCUACGGGAGGCAGCAGUGGGGAAUAUUGGACAAUGGGGGGAACCCUGAUCCAGCCAUGCCGCGUGUGUGAAGAAGGCCUUAUGGUUGUAAAGCACUUUAAGCGAGGAGGAGGCUACUGAGACUAAUACUCUUGGAUAGUGGACGUUACUCGCAGAAUAAGCACCGGCUAACUCUGUGCCAGCAGCCGCGGUAAUACAGAGGGUGCGAGCGUUAAUCGGAUUUACUGGGCGUAAAGCGUGCGUAGGCGGCUUUUUAAGUCGGAUGUGAAAUCCCCGAGCUUAACUUGGGAAUUGCAUUCGAUACUGGGAAGCUAGAGUAUGGGAGAGGAUGGUAGAAUUCCAGGUGUAGCGGUGAAAUGCGUAGAGAUCUGGAGGAAUACCGAUGGCGAAGGCAGCCAUCUGGCCUAAUACUGACGCUGAGGUACGAAAGCAUGGGGAGCAAACAGGAUUAGAUACCCUGGUAGUCCAUGCCGUAAACGAUGUCUACUAGCCGUUGGGGCCUUUGAGGCUUUAGUGGCGCAGCUAACGCGAUAAGUAGACCGCCUGGGGAGUACGGUCGCAAGACUAAAACUCAAAUGAAUUGACGGGGGCCCGCACAAGCGGUGGAGCAUGUGGUUUAAUUCGAUGCAACGCGAAGAACCUUACCUGGCUUACAUACUAGAAACUUUCCAGAGAUGGAUUGGUGCCUUCGGGAAUCUAGAUACCGGUCUGCAUGGGCUGUCGUCAGCUCGUGUCG
rnacentral:rRNA from 1 species